CUCCUUUACCUAUAAGCAACUGAAAAGCAACUUGAUGUGAGAACCUGAAUAGUUCUUUCCUUGGGUAUGUCCUUAGAUUUUGAUGGCGACGGUGGUAUGCAUUGGUCCAUAAGGUUGUCUCUCAAGAACCUUUCAAGUUGAGUAUAUAUUGGCUUAGUGGUGAGAAAAAUGGAUAUGUGGGUUUAUUGAAGAAGUAGAUUGAUUCAGGGUAUUACAGGAUGAGUGGAUGCUUCUCAAUUGGGAAACAUAUAAGCAACGACUCUCUCAACUCGUUCUCACAUAGAGUUGAUGUGGACAAUAGGUGAACAAGUAUGAAAUGGUAGAAGUGCUUCAAGAUUUUGAGGAAGAGUGAGCUGUGACGGUUGUGCCGCUUGUUAAACUCA